rnacentral:tRNA from 5 species
GCCGGAGUAGCUUAGUUGGUAAAGCAAUGCUUUCGUAAAGCAGAGACCGCGAGUUCAAUUCUCGCCUCCGGCU